rnacentral:rRNA from 1 species
CCUACGGGGGGCUGCAGUAAGGAAUAUUGGUCAAUGGACGAAAGUCUGAACCAGCCAUCCCGCGUGCAGGAUGAAAGCCCUAUGGGUUGUAAACUGCUUUUAGCAGAGAAGCAAAGCUUCCAUUUAUGGGGGUCUGACGGUAUCUGCAGAAUAAGCACCGGCUAACUCCGUGCCAGCAGCCGCGGUAAUACGGAGGGUGCGAGCGUUAUCCGGAAUAACUGGGUUUUAGGGGUGGGUAGUAGUAGUAUUAGAAAUCUUGUCGCAUAAAGAUAAAAUUGCCAAUGAUACUGGUACUCUUGAAUUGGGUUGAGGUUAGCGGAAUGUGACAUGUAGCGGUGAAAUGCAUAGAUAUGUCAUGGAACACCAAUUGCGAAGGCAGCUAACUGGGCCUUGAUUGACGCUGAGGCACGAAAGCGUGGGUAGCGAACAGGAUUAGAUACCCUUGUAGUC